rnacentral:rRNA from 1 species
CCUACGGGUGGCAGCAGUGGGGAAUCUUGCGCAAUGCUCGUAAGAGUGACGCAGCGACGCCGCGUGAAUGACGAAGGCCUUCGGGUCGUAAAGUUCUUUCGACAGGGAAGAAAAUGCCUAUAAGUAACUGUGUAUGUAUUGACGGUACCUGUAUAAGCAGCCCCGGCUAACUCCGUGCCAGCAGCCGCGGUAAUACGGAGGGGACGAGCGUUGUUCGGAGGGACUGGGCGUAAAGAGCACGUAGGCGGUGUUGUAAGUCAUUAGUCAAAGACUAGAGCUCAACUUUAGUAAGGCUAGUGAUACUAUAAUACUAGAGUAUCAGAGAGGAUUGCAGAAUUCCUGGUGUAGCGGGGAAAUGCGUAGAUAUCAGGAGGAAUACCGUUAGCGAAGGCGGCAAUCUGGCUGGAAACUGACGCUGAGGUGCGAAAGCGUGGGUAGCAAACAGGAUUAGAUACCCUAGUAGUC